rnacentral:rRNA from 1 species
UGGGGAAUUUUGGACAAUGGGCGAAAGCCUGAUCCAGCACUGCCGCGUGUGUGAAGAAGGCCUUCGGGUUGUAAAGCACUUUUGUCCGGAAAGAAAUGGCUCUGGUUAAUACCUGGGGUCGAUGACGGUACCGGAAGAAUAAGGACCGGCUAACUACGUGCCAGCAGCCGCGGUAAUACGUAGGGUCCAAGCGUUAAUCGGAAUUACUGGGCGUAAAGCGUGCGCAGGCGGUUGUGCAAGACCGAUGUGAAAUCCCCGAGCUUAACUUGGGAAUUGCAUGGGUGACUGCACGGCUAGAGUGUGUCAGAGGGGGGUAGAAUUCCACGUGGAGCAGUGAAAUGCGUAGAGAUGUGGAGGAAUACCGAUGGCGAAGGCAGCCCCCUGGGAUAACACUGACGCUCAUGCACGAAAGCGUGGGGAGCAAACAGG